rnacentral:rRNA from 1 species
ACGGGGCGCAGCAGGCGCGAAACCUUUACACUGUACGCAAGUGCGAUAAGGGGACUCCGAGUGUGAAGGCAUAGAGCCUUCACUUUUGUACACCGUAAGGUGGUGUACGAAUAAGGGCUGGGCAAGACCGGUGCCAGCCGCCGCGGUAAUACCGGCAGCCCGAGUGAUGGCCGAUAUUAUUGGGCCUAAAGCGUCCGUAGCUGGCCGGACAAGUCCGUUGGGAAAUCUGUUCGCUUAACGAGCAGGCGUCCAGCGGAAACUGUUCGGCUUGGGACCGGAAGACCUGAGGGGUACGUCCGGGGUAGGAGUGAAAUCCUGUAAUCCUGGACGGACCACCGGUGGCGAAAGCGCCUCAGGAGGACGGAUCCGACAGUGAGGGACGAAAGCUAGGGUCUCGAACCGGAUUAGAUACCCCGGUAGUCC